rnacentral:rRNA from 1 species
AUUGAACGCUGGCGGAAUGCUUUACACAUGCAAGUCGAACGGCAGCACGGGGCAACCUGGUGGCGAGUGGCGAACGGGUGAGUAAUACAUCGGAACGUGCCCAAUCGUGGGGGAUAACGUAGCGAAAGUUACGCUAAUACCGCAUACGAUCUACGGAUGAAAGCGGGGGAUCGCAAGACCUCGCGCGAAUGGAGCGGCCGAUGUCAGAUUAGGUAGUUGGUGGGGUAAAGGCUCACCAAGCCAACGAUCUGUAGCUGGUCUGAGAGGACGACCAGCAACACUGGGACUGAGACACGGCCCAGACUCCUACGGGAGGCAGCAGUGGUGAAUUUUGGACAAUGGGCGCAAGCCUGAUCCAGCCAUUCCGCGUGCAGGAUGAAGGCCUUCGGGUUGUAAACUGCUUUUGUACGGAACGAAACGGUUCUCUCUAAUACAGGGGGCUAAUGACGGUACCGUAAGAAUAAGCACCGGCUAACUACGUGCCAGCCGCCGCGGUAA